rnacentral:rRNA from 1 species
UACGGAGGAUGCGAGCGUUACCCGGAUUUAUUGGGUUUAAAGGGUGCGUAGGCGGAUCGUUAAGUCAGUGGUCAAAUUGAGGGGCUCAACCCCUUCUCGCCAUUGAAACUGGCGAUCUUGAGUGGAAGAGAAGUAUGCGGAAUGCGCGGUGUAGCGGUGAAAUGCAUAGAUAUCACGCAGAACCCCGAUUGCGAAGGCAGCAUGCCGGCUUCCUACUGACGCUGAAGCACGAAAGCGUGGGGAUCGAACAGG